UACGUAGGGUGCGAGCGUUAAUCGGAAUUACUGGGCGUAAAGCGUGCGUAGACGGUUAUUUAAGUCAGAUGUGAAAGCCCCGGGCUCAACCUGGGAAUUGCAUUUGAGACUGAAUAGCUAGGGUGCGGUAGAGGGAAGCGGAAUUUCCGGUGUAGCGGUGAAAUGCGUAGAUAUCGGAAGGAACAUCAGUGGCGAAAGCGGCUUCCUGGACCAGCACCGACGUUCAGGCACGAAAGCGUGGGGAGCAAACAGG
rnacentral:rRNA from 1 species